CCUACGGGAGGCAGCAGUGGGGAAUAUUGCACAAUGGGCGAAAGCCUGAUGCAGCGACGCCGCGUGAGGGAUGACGGCCUUCGGGUUGUAAACCUCUUUCAGCAGGGAAGAAGCGAGAGUGACGGUACCUGCAGAAGAAGCGCCGGCUAACUACGUGCCAGCAGCCGCGGUAAUACGUAGGGCGCAAGCGUUGUCCGGAAUUAUUGGGCGUAAAGAGCUCGUAGGCGGCUUGUCACGUCGGGUGUGAAAGCCCGGGGCUUAACCCCGGGUCUGCAUUCGAUACGGGCUAGCUAGAGUGUGGUAGGGGAGAUCGGAAUUCCUGGUGUAGCGGUGAAAUGCGCAGAUAUCAGGAGGAACACCGGUGGCGAAGGCGGAUCUCUGGGCCAUUACUGACGCUGAGGAGCGAAAGCGUGGGGAGCGAACAGGAUUAGAUACCCUGGUAGUCCACGCCGUAAACGGUGGGAACUAGGUGUUGGCGACAUUCCACGUCGUCGGUGCCGCAGCUAACGCAUUAAGUUCCCGCCUGGGAGUACGGCCGCAAGGCUAAAACUCAAAUGAAUUGACGG
rnacentral:rRNA from 1 species